CCCUUCCCGGUCAGUUGUGAGCUGUUCUCUCCACUGUGGUAGAGGCAGUUAUUCUCCUGGACUCCUCCUUCCCAAGUAAACCUCUUUCUCAAAAGAGUUUUGGGUGAAGACCUUUUGACUGGUGAACAGAAGAACUUUGCUGGGAUGUCUUAUAGAGGACCAGGCAAGGGGGAGCUGAACAGAAGAAACUUGCAGGGACUUCCCAUAGUGGAAUGAGAAAGAAACAGCUGGUAACACUGAGCCUGAGAUUGCAGCUAUCCAGGGUAGGAGCAGGAUUGCUGUGUCGGACAGGGAGAUCAUACCCCAAAACACCAGAUAUCAGUUAUUACCUCAUGAAGAGAAGAUAUGUCCUUUGCACUUUUGAUCUUCUUUAAAGUGGAGAUCUCAAUAUCCAGGAGACAAGCUGUUUUUCACUCUCCUACAAUUGAAAGGGCUUCCCUGGAUCCCAAGGGGAAAAGAUCAGUCCUUGUCUCUCCUGGCAGACCAGAUCCUAGAGUUGGUGGUGGGUAGCAUCUCAGAUUUUGGUCUGGGCACAUUACUGGAGUUGGAGAGAAUUAAUAAUCAGCUUCAGCAGCAACUAAAAAGAAAAGAAAGGACUAUCAGUUGCAUCAUCAAGAACAUCACUGGUGACAUACAUCAUCAGGAUCAGCAGUAGCAGUGGCAUCAUCAGUAGAAUCUUAUGGAGUGACAUUAGUAUCAUUGUGUUUGAGAAGGUGUGAGAAUGUGGAGCCUCAUUUUGUUGGUUCUAUUCUCAGAUGUUGCUUCUUCUGAAAUAUUUGUUUCCAAGAAGAUGCUAUACUCAUAAGUCACAAUGAAUGCACACAGAAAAAUAGAAACUAACAUUUAACAGUUAUAUAUCUCUGCUUAGCCAUUCAGAAAACACAAGGUUCACAUUAGGAGUGAAAGUAAUUCCCUAGUUCCAGAAUAGGAGACAACUGUGAACCUACCAGCUUUACUUGGGCACUUUUGUUGGACUAAACUGUUAUUUUUAUGUGAUAUGUUUUCAAUAUUAUUGGAAAAAAAUGAAUCAAUUCUUUUCUGGUGCUAGAAAAUGCCUAAAAGUUCUAUAUAAAGCAUGGAAUUUCUUAAUCAUACAUAUUAGUGCCAAAAAGAAUUAGAUUUCUAGUACAAAAAUCUUCAUCUAUUUUAAACCAUUUCUGGGGUCUCACUUACCUUGUCCAAUGUUUUGGUUCCUGGGAUCUCUUGAAUGAAUUCGUCUGCGGAAUACUA